rnacentral:rRNA from 1 species
GGAGGAAAGCAGGGGAUCGCAAGACCUUGCGCUCAUUGAGCGGCCGAUGCCUGAUUAGCUAGUUGGUGAGGUAAAGGCUUACCAAGGCGACGAUCAGUAGCUGGUCUGAGAGGACGACCAGCCACACUGGGACUGAGACACGGCCCAGACUCCUACGGGAGGCAGCAGUGGGGAAUUUUGGACAAUGGGGGAAACCCUGAUCCAGCCAUGCCGCGUGAGUGAAGAAGGCCUUCGGGUUGUAAAGCUCUUUCAGCCGGAACGAAACGGUCACGGCUAAUACCUGUGACUACUGACGGUACCGGAAGAAGAAGCACCGGCUAACUACGUGCCAGCAGCCGCGGUAAUACGUAGGGUGCGAGCGUUAAUCGGAAUUACUGGGCGUAAAGCGUGCGCAGGCGGUUUUGUA